rnacentral:lncRNA from 1 species
GUACUAAAUAUUUUGUCCUGCUUGGUCUUUUAUCCAUCAAUGGAAAUUUCAGCUUUUCGAAGAAAACAUUAUGGACGGCCAAUACGAUCACGAUCGUUGUGCAUAUGUACUAAACUUUAUAAAAAUUAAAAAUAUAGAUAAUAAAGAAUUCUAAAAUUCUCAGAUAUAAGUAUAACAAGCUACGGGUAUAUAACUGGAAGUCGUUGGGUUUGCUUUCUUACGGAGGGACACAAUAACGUCAUAAAAUGGGCGCUUUAUCGGAGAACCAG